GGCUGGCAGGGGUGCCACUGCGCGGGGGCGGGAGCGGCCGCGGGGUGAGGGUGCAGCUCCGCCGGGCCCGUCCCCGAGGUAAAGAGCGGCAGCGUGGAAACCGUUAGCUGAGAGAACACAGAUGCCGCCUCGGCCCGCCUCCUGUGCACUGGAGCAGGCCCGGCGGUGCGUGAGCGCUCGACCUGCCUUCGCCUCGCAGGAACCCGAGUCCUGUUGGAGGGGCCAGGCGUGGGGACGGCGGCGCCUCUGCGUCUCGACUUGCGGACCCCUCCUGCCUCAGCCUGAAGAGCUGCCUGGUCUCCAGUCGAGGGCAAGACAACUCAUUCACAACACCCUGAGACUUGGCAAUGGAGGAGCCAAAAUUUCCUAUCACAUAAGGAGGAUGGAAUCCAAGUUGAACAAUUAAAACAUUGUCCACAAUAGGUGAUUUAUUUAACAACAUUAAGGAAGACAAGUAUUUCUUCUCAAUGGAGCUGCCAUAGAGUGUUUCUUUUCCCCUAUGAAAAAUGUGGUAGACUUUAUCACAAAGAUACAGAUUUUUUGGUUAAAAAUACUAAAGAUUUUCUGUUAUCUGAUGUGGUAUGCAGCACAAUGCCAUUCUUUGGAGUGUCUAUGUCCUAAUUCCUAAAACCUGUGAAUAAAUUCAUCUAGGACAAAGAGAAUUAAGGUUACAAAUUAGGUGACAUUAAAAUAAGAGAUUAUCCUGGAUAAUCCGCAUGGACCCAAUGUGAUCACAGGAAUCUUUAGAGGCAGAACAGAGAGGCAGAGAAGAUAAGAGUGAUAUGAAAUGAGAAGGACUCUACAUCAUUGUUGGCUCUGAAGAUUGAGAAAAGAGUGUUGGGAGCCGCGUCUGUGAUAGCUCGCCUUGCGCGGCGGACGUGCGGCCUGUAGUAAAGAAUAAAGCCUGAGGUAGAUUACCCCUCCCAUCGAAUAUGUUAGUUUCCUGCUUACCGCGUAAGCAACCCGCUCAACAAUAUAGUCUGCCUGGCAACUGAUGAUGUUAGCCAAUCAGCUUGCCUUGCUUACUUUAACAUGAUUGGACACUGUACCCGUAUAUAUACCGGUGCCACCCCUGGGCGGAAGAAGAAGCCAGGUAGAAGCCCAGAAGUAAAAGCACAAAAGGAGCCGCGGAGAGCGGACCGGUAGAGGCUUUGGGGCAGACUGAAGCACAAAAGGAGCCGCGGGGAGCGGACCAGAGGAGGCUUCAGCUGGGAGAACCCAGGGCAGGCUGUACGGAGAAGGAAAAUAAAAAGAAAAGGUUGUCCACUACCAGACUUUGUCGUGUGUCCUUCCUGCCGGCCGGGAGCGGACAUCGACAAAAGAGGCCAAGAGUGACAGAUGUGGAUGGCCUCCAAAAGUAGAAAAGCAAGAAAAACAACUCUCCCCUUAGGGUCUUCAGAGAGAGAGAUGACCAUAAUGAUAUCUUAGUUUUAUCCCACUGAGUCCCAGGUUGGGCUUCUGGACUACCAAAGUGUAAGAUAAAUAAUUUUGUGUUCUUUGAAGCCAUUCAGUGUAUGGUAACUUAUUAUGGCAGUAACAGUAAACUAAUACACUUCAUUACAAAUUAAAAGUAGAGUUAGGAUAAGUGGUUUGCUAAAUUGAUCAAGGCUUUAACCCAGACUGGUUGCUGUCCAUUGAACUUCCAGGUUGUUAGAAAUUCCUAUCACUAGAGCUUGUGAUUGUUUGGAAACACAGAAAGAACGAAAGUGAGAAGCACAUAUAUUUUUCUUUUAAAUUGUUCUAUUAAGUAAUUGUUCCAGAGUCCAGUGAAAGAAAACAUCAAAAAUAAUUUCUUAGUUUUUCUGACCUAGAAGCUGAAGGGGUUAUGUAACUAUACUCUGUAGAAUAUAGCAGGAGCCAUUGUAGACAAUAUAGGUAAUUUUCAUUAUCACUUCUCUCCUCCUUUAACAACUAUUUUAGCGACUACUUCUCAAUACUCAUUUCCAAACAUUUUAGUUUAUAUUAUGAUACUGUCAUGAUUUAUGUCAGUGGCUCCCAAGCCUCAUGAAUUAUAGACUGGACUAAAUCUAGCAUUGUGAUUGGUUUGUUGUGCUUGGAUUGGUGGUGUGAGCGUAGCCAGGAUACGAUGUAACAGGGAAGAAGGUGUGUCUCUCUCUCUUGCCAGUUUGCACCUUGCAGGUUGCAACUGCCAUGAACUGCAGCCUUACCAUGCCACCCUGCCUUGGAGCCAAAUGAGUAUGGACUGAAACCUCCAAGAACUGUAAGAAAUAAACCUUUUCUUCCCUAACUUUGAGCAUCAAGGAUUUGGUCUCAGCAAAGAGUAAAAAGUAACUAAGACAGAAACUAA
ensembl:lincRNA